UAGGGAAUCUUGCGCAAUGGGCGAAAGCCUGACGCAGCGACGCCGCGUGCAGGAAGAAGGCCUUCGGGUUGUAAACCGCUUUCAGGAGGGACGAAGCCACUCGGGUUAAUAGCCCAGAGGGUGACGGUACCUCCAGAAGAAGCCCCGGCUAACUACGUGCCAGCAGCCGCGGUAAUACGUAGGGGGCAAGCGUUGUCCGGAUUUAUUGGGCGUAAAGAGCGUGUAGGCGGCCAGAUAGGUCAGCUGUGAAAACUCGAGGCUCAACCUCGAGAUGUCGGCUGAAACCAUCUGGCUAGAGUCCGGAAGAGGAGAAUGGAAUUCCCGGUGUAGCGGUGAAAUGCGCAGAUAUCGGGAAGAACACCCGUGGCGAAGGCGGUUCUCUGGGACGGUACUGACGCUGAGACGCGAAAGCGUGGGGAGCGAACAGGGAUUAGAUACCCUGGUAGUCCACGCCGUAAACGAUGGGAACUAGGUGUGGGGCGGUGUCGACUCCGUCCGUGCCGAAGCUAACG
rnacentral:rRNA from 1 species